CAGAGAUUAAAAAAUCCUAGCAAUACAGGGAGAAAUUCCCAUUUUACCUGCAAAAAGAAGUAAAGAACUCCUGGAAGUUGCUGAAAGAGAAAUGAUCUAAGAUAUUUUACACAUUUUAUAAAGAAGUAUUCCGAAAGUGGCUGGAAUAUGUUCAAAGGAGAGAGUCAGCUGGAAUGUUUUGAAAUGUGACACGAAAGUGAAGAAAAAAUGCCUCCACUUUGACCUUUGAUUAGAAUAAUUAUUCAUACCGAAGACUGCCAGAACUUCUGUUCUCAGAAGAACCUUGCAAGUGUUGGGAAUCUUCAGAAGAACAAAAUCUUAUUUCCAUGACCAAUUACGUCUAACUGGGAGAAGGAAGAUUAUUGUUAAAACGGUAUGUUUUCCAAUUAAAAACUUAUUAAAAAAAGACAGAAAAUGCAGUGUAUUAGCCAAUC
rnacentral:lncRNA from 1 species